CUGGAAAGUAGUACUGUGUUCCCUGAGGGAAAUCAGACACCUGCUCUCUGCUAAGGAUGAAAUUUAAAGGAACAACAUUAUUUACUGUUAAUUCUCUCCGUUUACCAGAGAGUCUUCUUUUUUAGAAUUAAUGAAUAAUGGUUGAAAUCUGGUCCUGCUAUAAAAUAACCAUGGGGACUAUAUAAACGUGUUUUGCUUGCAUUUUUUAUUUUUAGUUUUUAUUUUUAUUUUUACAAGCAAACUAUAAAACAUUUUUUCAAGAAGUUUUGUUUUGCUAGCAAUAGUUUUCCACUGCAGAGAAUAAUGAAUUACAAGUUCCAAAAUGAAAUGGAGCCCUGGAGCUCCUUCAUCUUUGCCCUUGAAACUUCUGAAAAGUUUGAAUCAAGGUCUAAAGGAAAGUUUCCUCCCCCUUCCUUGCAGCUGAGCUUUUGAGAAUCACAUACACACUUUUCUAUUUUUACUUUCUAGCCUGGGCCCAUUUCCAAUUUUAAAACUGUGGGAUUCCUGCACUCCUACAUAUGUGAGACCCAGACUGAACUCAAAGGAUGGGCCAGUUUACCCUCCUUUUCCUCCCAACCAGCUUAGUUUCAUAACAGUGCACAAUUGAAAUUGGAGACCACUUGGGUUUCCUUACUUUGAAAAAGCUCAGAAGAAACAUUUACAACUCCUAAUGAACGACUGCAGAGAGGAGUUGAAAUUAAGUCAGCAGAGAUCACGAUUUGUUUUGGCUCAGAUCCUAAUCCAGUUUAUAAUCCAAGGUCUGGAGUCCCAGUACCAGGUUAUCACUGUGUGUCACAGGGAUCUGUAUGAAGGGCUAUAUGCAGGUAAAGAUUCAUAAAAGAUCUAGAAAGGCCAAUCUGUGGUGACAGAUUUUUUGAUGAUAUCGAGUACUUCUGCAAAAACAUGGCAGAAGUUUUUCAGAAAGAUGAAAGAGAAUGAUGAAAUGAACACAACAAAUGAAAUUUAAAAAGUAGGAAAAAAAAGACAAAUAAUAAACAUAAAAUGAUGCAAAUGGGAAUUAUGGGC
rnacentral:lncRNA from 1 species